rnacentral:rRNA from 1 species
UGGGGAAUAUUGCACAAUGGACGGAAGUCUGAUGCAGCAACGCCGCGUGCGGGAUGACGGCCUUCGGGUUGUAAACCGCUUUUUCUCAUGACGAAGUUUUUUGACGGUAGUGGGGGAAGAAGCACCGGCUAACUACGUGCCAGCAGCCGCGGUGAUACGUAGGGUGCGAGCGUUGUCCGGAAUUAUUGGGCGUAAAGAGCUGGUAGGCGGUUUGUCGCGUCGAUAGUGCAAACUCAGUGCUUAACGCUGAGCCUGCUGUUGAUACGGGCAGACUAGAGGAAGGUAGGGGAGAAUGGAAUUCCCGGUGGAGCGGUGGAAUGCGCAGAUAUCGGGAGGAACACCGGUGGCGAAGGCGGUUCUCUGGGCCUUUCCUGACGCUGAGAAGCGAAAGCGUGGGGAGCGAACAGG